GAUGAACGCUGGCGGCGUGCCUAAUACAUGCAAGUCGAGCGAACAGACGAGGAGCUUGCUCCUCUGACGUUAGCGGCGGACGGGUGAGUAACACGUGGAUAACCUACCUAUAAGACUGGGAUAACUUCGGGAAACCGGAGCUAAUACCGGAUAAUAUAUUGAACCGCAUGGUUCAAUAGUGAAAGACGGUUUUGCUGUCACUUAUAGAUGGAUCCGCGCCGCAUUAGCUAGUUGGUAAGGUAACGGCUUACCAAGGCAACGAUGCGUAGCCGACCUGAGAGGGUGAUCGGCCACACUGGAACUGAGACACGGUCCAGACUCCUACGGGAGGCAGCAGUAGGGAAUCUUCCGCAAGGGGCGAAAGCCUGACGGAGCAACGCCGCGUGAGUGAUGAAGGACUUCGGAUCGUAAAACUCUGUUAUUAGGGAAGAACAAAUGUGUAAGUAACUAUGCACGUCUUGACGGUACCUAAUCAGAAAGCCACGGCUAACUACGUG
rnacentral:rRNA from 1 species